rnacentral:rRNA from 1 species
GACGAGCCACACGAACGUUAUUCGGAAUUACUGGGCUUAAAGGGUGCGUAGGCGGCGCGGAAAGUUGGGUGUGAAAUCCCUCGGCUCAACCGAGGAACUGCGCUCAAAACUACCGUGCUCGAGGAAGAUAGAGGUGAGCGGAACUCACGGUGGAGCGGUGAAAUGCGUUGAUAUCGUGAGGAACACCCGUGGCGAAAGCGGCUCACUGGGUCUUUUCUGACGCUGAUGCACGAAAGCUAGGGGAGCAAACGGGAUUAGAAACCCGAGUAGUCC